UGUGGAACUCUAAAUCUACUGACACCACUGGCUGACUAAAGUUAGCCGUAGUGUGGCUUUUUCUCUUUCUGGGUCACAGAGGAGAAAUACAAAGAAAGAGGAUGGUGGCCUGGUUGACUGUGGUACCUCCAGGUGAAUCUGAUAACUAGCAGGACUCUACACGAACCACUCUACUCUACAGAUGGCAAACUUUACUAUUGGAGUAAUACCUGUUGGAACGGGAGACUGAUUCUGAAGACAAUGACGAUAAAAGGAUGCCUUACACUACAAGCUGGCCGCAUUGGUUCAUUCAGUGUGUUACCUUUGGCAUCGAGGAACUCCGAUCCUGUUUCUGAGACCUUCACUGGUGCUCUGCAGUGUCAAGGUGGAAAUGCUCAGUCAUGGGGUUGAGUGCUCAUUUUGCAUGUG
ensembl:lncRNA